AGGGGCCGCGGCUGCACUGCGCCUCCGGCUCGGAAGGGCGGCCUGACGGGCUCGCCUUGUGCCACACACAGAGCAGGACAGGCCCUGCACGGAAUAAGAGUGUUCAAUGCCUGUUCUAAAAUUUCCUGCUGGACCUCAAGGGUUGAAGACAAAACAAGUCGUUUCCAAAACCUGAUCAGGACACAGCAUCUGACCUGGGACAUCAUAACUGAGUUCACUCACACUACGGAGCUAUUAUGCCAUCAUGAGAACCAGUCUGAACUGCGUCAUUUUGAAGCCAGCCAGCCAAGUUUGAGGAUGUAUCUCUGCCAUCCCAGAGACACCAGCAUCUCAAAUAUGGUAUUUGAAUACAAGAUUAUGCCACCUAUUACGCACACAUUGGCUGACAUUCAAGCUAUUGAGAAGUAAGAGCAACUUGUUCCCAUUGGUCUUCCUGUAUGAGCUUCUGAAUUACUCACCAUCAUCCAGAAAGUGGUAAAAUUGUAUUUAUGACUACUAUAUAAAAUUCAAACAAGACCUUUAUUUACAUUAGGUUUUCAAGCAGUGGGUAUUGCAACAUACAUAACAAAAUUUCAUACUACAUUUUUUAUAGGCAAUCAGGUUGAAAAACUGAUCUACAGAAUCAAUUUGUCAAAACUGGCUAAGCAGAAAAUGUGUCAACUCGGCUUAAGAGUACUUUGUCAAUUUUACACCAUUUUCUGUCAUUCAGAGUAUUUCUGAUGUCCUGGUUAUAAAAACAGAAUGCUCAUGCAGGUUAAUUUACAGUGAACUCUCUAGUAAAUUUUGUGUUCUUCACUUGUUCAGAAGAGCAUAUCAAUAUUCUCCCCACCUUGUCUCACAAAGCAAUUAUGGGUCCAGAUAGGGAGAAAACUCAAUCAGGAGAUUUUUAACAGAAAAAAAAAAAAAAAAAAAA